rnacentral:lncRNA from 1 species
GUAAUAGCAGUAGUAGUAGUAGUAACAGUAGUAACUGUAACAACAGUAGCAGCAGUAGCAGCAUCAGCAGCAGUAGCAGUAGUAGUAGUAAUAGCAGCAAUAGUAGUAGUAAUAAUAGUGUAGCAGCAACAGCAACAAUAGUAGUAGUAGUAAUACUAAUAGUAAAAGUAGUAGCAGUACUAGCAGUAAUAACAAUAGCAACAGUAAUAAUAGUAACAAUAGUAGCAACAACAGUAAUAAUAGUAGUAGUAAUAGUAGUAAUAUUAAUAGUACCUAUAAAUACCCAUUUACUUGAAGGCUUUU